UACGAAGGGGGCUAGCGUUGCUCGGAAUCACUGGGCGUAAAGGGUGCGUAGGCGGGUCUUUUAAGUCAGAGGUGAAAUCCUGGAGCUCAACUCCAGAACUGCCUUUGAUACUGAAGAUCUUGAGUUCGGGAGAGGUGAGUGGAACUGCGAGUGUAGAGGUGAAAUUCGUAGAUAUUCGCAAGAACACCAGUGGCGAAGGCGGCUCACUGGCCCGAUACUGACGCUGAGGCACGAAAGCGUGGGGAGCAAACAGG
rnacentral:rRNA from 1 species